rnacentral:misc_RNA from 1 species
UUUUGGUUUACAGAACAUAGGCAUAUGAUCAGAACCUUCAAUCUUUAUCACUUCUUCAACAGUAUAAUUUGAAAUCAUCCAUUGCUGAAACUCCAGUGGAAUUCCUUUGUCCUCUUCGCAGAUGACAUAUACUCGGCUAACUGAUCCAUACCCUUCCUUAGAGAAAUUUUUUGCGUUGGACAAAUCGUGUAGGAACAGUGAUGAUGGCCUCACCAAAGCCUUUGCCAAUUCAAGAUCCUCAAUGG